GACGAACGCUGGCGGCGUGCUUAACACAUGCAAGUCGAACGGUGAAGGGACCAGCUUGCUGGUUCUGGAUGAGUGGCGAACGGGUGAGUAACACGUGAGUAACCUGCCCCCUUCUUCUGGAUAACCGCAUGAAAGUGUGGCUAAUACGGGAUAUUCUGGGUCUGUCGCAUGGCGGGCCCGGGAAAGAUAUUGCUUCGGUGGGGGAUGGGCUCGCGGCCUAUCAGCUUGUUGGUGGGGCGAUGGCCUACCAAGGCGGUGACGGGUAGCCGGCCUGAGAGGGUGGACGGUCACACUGGGACUGAGACACGGCCCAGACUCCUACGGGAGGCAGCAGUGGGGAAUAGUGCACAAUGGGCGCAAGCCUGAUGCAGCGACGCCGCGUGAGGGAGGGAGGCCUUCGGGGUGUAAACCUCUUUCGCCAGUGAAGCAGGCCUGCUCCUUGUGGGUGGGUUGACGGUAGCUGGAGAAGAAGCGCCGGCUAACUACGUG
rnacentral:rRNA from 1 species